UGAAUCCCAGGUAAAAUUUCCCAAUUCCUUCACUGCUAUCCCUAACCCUUACUUUUCGACUCCCAAUUUGAUCGUUUAGAGCCUCCCUUCAUAUUCUCCAAUUGUGACAAUACCCUCCCCUUGAAACAAUCCUUGUCCCCAAGGAUCAAAGGCUGGAAACUGAGCCUUAAGAACAGUGAAAUCCUCCCAAGUGUACUGGGUAGCGUCCAAGUUUGUCCAUCACACCAAAAGUUGAGUAACUGGCUUGUUUUGUCGAUUAAUUAGUCGUUUCCCAAAAAUCUUCAAUGGAUAGAUUUUGAACUGACCCUCAUUGUCCAGUGCAUGAGGAUUGCUCGAAGGAACCACUGAGUCUCCGAUUCUCUUUAUUAACAGGCUCAUAUGGAAAAUUGGUUGCAGCCAAGAGUUUUCUGUACGAGGGAAAAUUGAAGAUAUGGUUGGAGCUUCAGGUUCCCAAAAGAGAAAAAAGGGAUCGAAGAUGAGCAUGUCAGGUUCCGAGAAGCGGAAAAAGGGAUCGAAAAUGAGCAUGUCAUGUCAGCUUCUCCUUCCUAAAGUUCAGAUCAGAAAAGUUGGAAUUAUAUGUAUUUUUUUAUUUAAAAUGUAG